UAAGAGCAGUGGCUUCUUGUCUACAGA
rnacentral:piRNA from 1 species